rnacentral:piRNA from 1 species
CAAGGCUUAGAGUUAAAGAAGCA